AACGAACGCUGGCGGCAUGCCUAACACAUGCAAGUCGAACGAGACCUCCGGGCCUAGUGGCGCACGGGUGCGUAACGCGUGGGAACCUGCCCGUAGGUUCGGGACAACUCCCCGUAAGGGGUGCUAAUACCGGUUAAUGUCAUCGCACCAAAGAUCUCUCGCCAUUGGAUGGGCCCGCGUUGGUUUGGCCGGUUGGUAGGGGAAAAGCCUGUCAAGGCGUUGAUGCAUGGCUGGUCGGUGAGGAGGACACGCCACACUGGGGCUGAGACACGGACCAGACCGGUACGGAGGGGAGCGGUGUGGAAUAUAGUGCGAUGAGGGAUAGCGUGGUCAAGCAGUGCGGCGGAAGAGAGGAAGGGCUUAGGGUAGUAAAGCUCUUUGACACGGGGUGAGAAUGACAGUACCGGGUAAAUAAGCUCCGGCUAACUCCGUG
rnacentral:rRNA from 1 species